CUUUCAACGAAUGAUAUAUCAUGAAGAGAUAUGUGAAAAACACCUUGAGGAUUGAUUCUAAACAACGUUUACCAUGUUUCAGUCGAUAUUAUGGAGUUAAUUUGGAAAACAGUUUGGCGUUUUGAAGACUGAAUUUUCGGGGUUUUUUGGUAGCCAAACGUGACGCACCAAACGAAGCAAUUUCUCCUAAACAAGUAAUCUUUCAGGAAAAACUGAGCAUUUGCUAUCUAACUGAGAGUCUCCUCAUUGAAAACAUCUGAAGUUCUUCAAAGGUAGGUUGCAUUGUCUCGCACAGGAGACUGAAUAUCUUUAUUCCAAUCCUGAGGCUCUACGGUGAAGCAGAGGGGUGCCUCAGUACAUGGUUGGGGAAAGCACCUAGAGGUCUUGAUCUUCAUAUACUGGCUAGCCCACAGCCUUUCCUAUAGGGUAGUAGACAGCACCUUCAGUGUCCUGAAACCAACCGUAUGCCGAAUAGUUCAUAGGAUUGGAUGAAAGAUCAGUAACAAUCUGAAGAAGACCAUCAAAGCAAUGUGUUCAACAAUGCAGUUGGGUCAUCGAUGGUUGCCACAUAUGCAUCAAGUCACUAGCACUGGAAAGGCAGGACUACUUAAAUUACAAACAGCUCUACUCCAUCCAGAUGCAGGCCAUCUGUGAUGUAACGGGGAGGUUCCUGGACAUCUUUGUUGCCUAUGCAGGGUCAGUCCACGAGACCAGAGUCCUGAAAAACAGUUCCUUCUGCCAGACCGUCAGCUACCCAGCACCAGGCUUCUUCUUGUUGGGCCUCCAUACCAGGAGAGCUAUGUCCAACUCAUUACCUCGUUAAGGCAACCUACCCAGGGAUAGAUUCAGAAGCGGUUCAAUGCCAUACAUACGAGGGCUCGCAAUAUGGUGGAGCAAUCCUAUGGGCAAAUUAAGGCAAGAUGGCCUUGGAGGGGCAAGUCCCCUUCUGGCCCGAGGUGGUGGCGGCAUGUGCAUUCCUGCCCAAUGUGUAGGAAUCUCUGCCUCUCUCCUCCCUAUCUCCGCCCUCUCGCUCCCUCCCUCUUUAUAAAUAGA
ensembl:lncRNA